rnacentral:tRNA from 1 species
GCGGAUGUAGUACAAUGGCUAGUGCUCCAGCCUUCCCAAGCUGGGAAUGCGGGUUCGAUUCCCGUCAUCCGCU